rnacentral:miRNA from 1 species
UUAGGUUAAUGCAAAAGUAAUUGUGGUUUUUGCCAUUGAAAGUAAUAGGAAAAACCGCAGUUACUUUUGCACCAACCUAAUAA